rnacentral:rRNA from 1 species
GACGUAGGGCGCGAGCGUUGUCCGGAUUUAUUGGGCGUAAAGAGCUCGUAGGCGGCUUGUCGCGUCGAAUGUGAAAACCCGAGGCUCAACUUCGGGCUUGCAUUCGAUACGGGCAGGCUAGAGUUCGGUAGGGGAGACUGGAAUUCCUGGUGUAGCGGUGAAAUGCGCAGAUAUCAGGAGGAACACCGGUGGCGAAGGCGGGUCUCUGGGCCGAUACUGACGCUGAGGAGCGAAAGCCAGGGGAGCAAACGGG